AACAUUUACUUAGCCUUGGUCUCCUAACCAGAAAAGAAGUUUGAGGCACCAAAGCUCUUACUCUACAAGGAACAACAAAGAAUGAUGGUGACUUGGCCAAAUAAAGAAGAGUAAUCAUGACAUCAUAAGGAAUUUGACCAAAAGGAUAGCAUGCAUUUGGAGGAGCACUGGUUUUAAUUUCUGAGCUGAUGAGGACAUGUUGCAAUAGGAAAACUGGAAGACGUGCAAAGAAAGAAUCUAAAAUGAUUGUUUUAACUGAUUUCAAAGCGUUAUCCAUCUGCUUCAAUGCAUGAGGAAGAUUCUGGAUGGAGGAAAGGGGAACUUGAGGUUGAGACCUGAGUCAAAGGGUUUGGCAUCGAAGUAAUGCUAUUUUAACCAGGGAAAUGAGUCCUGGAAGAAGUCAUUCCAUAUGGCACAAACCAGCACACUCCUCUUCUCUGUAAGCAAACACUCCAAGUGCAACUGGUUAGCAAAUAAAUAGCAGUAAGAGAACCAGAGAAAAGGCACUGCGUAGCCAGUGCAGGAGACGUGGCCUAAGCUGCAGAAGAGUAAGAGACUGGAGUCACGUGUAUGAGCUUCAGUCUCUCAGUGUGUGAAGUGUGGCAGGUAGUUCAUAUUUUGUGAGACAGUAUCAGCACAAUGAGAUUGUUUAAGAUCAGAAAUACAUAGAAUCAUAGAAUAGUUAGGAUUGGAAAGGACCUCAAGAUCAUCUAGUUCCAACCCCCCUGCCCCUCACACUAAACCAUAUCACCCAAGGCUUCAUCCAAUCUGGUCUUGAGCACUGCCAUGAAUGGAGCAUUCACUACCUUCAAUCAGCCACCAAUACAACCUGUUUUUAACACCAGUGAAUGCAGUAAGAUCAGGCUUGGUGGCACCAAUAGGGAAUGCUUUUUGUGGGCAUAUUUAAGUACUGUCUUCAUUAUAAUGAACUGUGGCUUUGAUCCACAAUUUAACAAUCAUGACUGAACUUGUGUAUGAUUUUACAUGUUUAUGAGUGGGAAAAAAUGAUGAGUUACAACUUGCAGAUGCUGAUGCAGAAUUCACUUCAAGGUGCUUGUCGGGAAGAUCACUCUCUGGAUAUUUUACAGAUUUGCAAGUUGCUCUUUUUCCCUCAUAUUUAAAAGAUUAACAUUGUAACGAAUAGUGUUUACUAUGACUAAAUUUGUCCAUUAUUAAUAAAGUGAGAUAAUGAGCCCCUAUUCAAAAAAGUUAUUUAUAUAGGAAUUAAGUAAAAAAUUCCAGUAAACUAAGCCUAUGAAGACAGUAGCAAAAAAUGUAGUUUUUUUCAAAUAGGUAAAUAUUUAUGAGCAGUUCCCACCAUACUCUGGAAGUUUUACUGAAGCGUACCAGCAUCACUACUCAAUUUAUAUAUGUUUUUGAACUUGUCUUUCAGCAAUUGUAGAGGGGAUCAUCUUGGAUCUUCUGUGAUCCAAACUGUUAUUCAAAAUCAUCUUACUUUAUAGAUUAAUUAA